UUAGCUGAAAAAGAUAAUACAACGAGCAAUUUUCUACCAUGUGAUUAUAGCAUUGAUGUCAUAAUGAGCAGGAUGUCUCUUGUGUACUAUGAAGAAUGCUACUUAUAUACUUGAUUUCUUCGAUUUCAGUGGUGGUAUGCUUAUCAUUUCUCCUUAUCAUUUCAGGCUUCGGCAACGACGAGCAUGGCCAAGCUAGACACCAGAAGAGUAUUGCAUACUCAGCUACUCCAAUCGUUUGGGCCUUUGGGGAUGGUGGACUCGAUUGCUGAAUCAAUGGUGCCAUGUCAUGCCCCCUAUAUUACCUUUGCCCAAAUCAAAGUGCAUAUAUUUCCACGAGUUAUAGGGGGCAUGGCUGGGACGGUGAUGGAGGAGCAGUGACGAGCCAAAUGGCCAUGGCGCCGCUCGCUGGAGCACAUCAGCAUCUCGUCGCUCGUCAAUAUUAUUUAUCCAUCCGCUAUUCCAGUAAAGGAUUUGAUGUGCUAAAACAAUAAUGUGGAGAUAAGUCAUAUGUCUGAUGGAAAAUAUAGCUAUAGCUAUUUUUUAUUUGUUUUAUCAGUAUCAUCCUAGAACCUGACACGGGCCUGCUUAUUAUCUGCUUAAUCUCCCUACUUUUAUACCUGAUUUGUGUGUUGCCAGUUGACAUGAAGCCUCCUUCGGUCAACAAGUAGGUAUUUAUGGCCAGGCUGAUAGCUAUUUGCAGAUAUUCAGGUUGUUGUUAAUUGUGGCAGGUGAGAGAUCUGAAGUUAAUGCCUGUGAAAAUUCGUGGUUUCUUAAGUGGGUGAAGAGCUGCCAGAAAGAAGAUCCAUGAGAGGAUCAAUGCUAUCCACUUAUCUUUGUCAGUUCUGAAAUCUCCAGGAGCUGAAGCUCAAGUAAAUGAGCUUAGAAAAGUAUCAAUAAAGCUAAGCAAAGCAUUGAACUUGGAAGGGAUCAGAUCAAUGGUGGAAAGAUUGACACAAAAGAACAACAUUCCACAGUGUGUACCUCUUGCACUUUGUUUUCUUUAUUGAU